GGAAGGCUUGAGCACAGCCCUGCCAAGAAAAGAAGAUGAGGGGAUGGCAGCCGGGCAUGAGUCAGCAUUGUGCUCUCGCAGCCCAGAAAGCCAACUGGAUCCUGGGUGCAUCCAAAGCAGCGCAGCCAGCAAACGAGGGUGGGGAUCUGCCCCUCUGCUCUGCACUGUGAGACCUCACCUGGAGCUCUGCGUUCAGAUGGGGAGUGCUCAGCACAGGAGAGACACGGAGCUGUUGGAGUGUGUCCAGAGGAAGGCCACAAAAAUGAUCUGAGGGAUGGAAAAGCUCCUUGUGGGGACAGGCUGAGAGCUGGGAUUUGCAGCAUGGAAAAGGAAGGCUGUGGGGAGAGCUGAGAGCGGCCUGUCAGUAUCUAGAGGGGAACUACAGGAAAGAAGGGGACAGGCUCUUAAGCAGGGUCUGUUGUUACAGGAGAAGGGGUAAUAGUUUCAAGCUUAAGGAGGGUAGAUUUAGGUUGGAUAUAAGGAAAAAGUCUUUUACAGUGAGGGUGGUGAGGCACUGGAACAGGUUGCCCAGUGAUGUGGUGCAUGCCCCAUCCCUGGAGACUUUCAAGGUGAGGCAGGAUCAUGCCCUGGGCAGUCUGGCUUAAUUGUGGCGUCCCUGUUCAUUUCAGGGGAGUUGGGCUAUAUGGCCUUCAGAGGUCCCUUCCAACUCUUAAGGAUUCUAUUCUUCUAUUCUAAAGAGCGGUGAGUGUAGCAGGGCAAGGGGGGUUGCAGUGUGCUGCAUAGAACAGAAAAAUGUGUUUGGGAUUGUGAAUUGUCAGUGAUGUACAGUAUCUAUUCACACUCUAAAAGUCUGAAUUCAAAGUGAUAAUUAUGUGCUGUUUUUGCUGUUUAAGUGGUUUAAUGCCAUUAAGACUUUGCUACUUAAUGGAAAAGCUUAGAAUCAAACUAGCAUGGGAAUACUAAAAAAUUUAAUGGAUUUCUGUUUAAGUCAUUCUUUCUAUUAGGAAACAAAUCUACCAAAAUAUAUAACUAGGUCUUUGGAUUCAAUUAUUAAUCCUCUCUUAAUAUGAAGAGCAAAAUUAUCAUUUAACAGUAUUUCUCUGAAAUAGAAUUUUAAUGAUACCAUCAUCUCAUAGCUGAACAUGAUUUUUCCCGAUUGGAACAAAGUUAGAGGAUUCUUAGCACUGAAUCAAUUUCAGUUAUUAACCCUAAGCAGUUACAAUAUACCA
ensembl:lncRNA